CGCAUCAAGUUGAAACAACGGUUCCCGUACGAUCACCGAAGUUAAGCAACGUCGUAUCUAGCCAGGACUAAGAUGGGUGACCACUUGGAAAUGCCAGAUGCUGUAAG